ensembl:lincRNA
UCCUUAUAGCUCGGAUACAAGAAGUCUUUUGUUCAGGGCUCAGAUUUCAAAAAGUCCUAUGCUACCCUGCAGGUGCAUAUGCCCAAGUAUGGACGUCCAUGUACAUGAAGGGGCAAAAUACUUUCUCCAGGACAGAACCACAGACGUGAUGGUUUUAUUGCCCCUUAAGACAUUAACCAGCUUCUCAGCAAACAUAUUUCAGCGUGUCUUUCCCAACUAAAUUUAUAAAUCUCAAUCUCUCCAAUGUUCUUUCUAUCCAGCUUUGUGUUUGUCUGGUUCCAUUAUGAGUCCCGUCAGUCACUGAUGUGAUAUAAAUUAUACUUUAGCAGAACCGGAACUCAGAGGCUCUGCCUUGUUGUGUGGCUUUGGGUCAGUCCUUCAACUUCUCCACGUCACAUUAUCUCACUGGCCACACAGCGAGGACGCCGGUUCCCUGGACUGCAUCCGGAGGGGACAAGGACGUCAAAGUACUUCCUAGCAUUCACAAGAGCUCAGGUUUUCCUGUGGUCACUAAUUGGACAAGGCUAUUCUAGGGCUGGAAGGUCUGGGGCCAUGAAGGCGGCCUUCUGCAGACUUGGAGCACCGGGCAGCCUGGCGCCAGUUUCCUGCCUAGAAGCCAGUCCUAGAUGUCCGAAGGAGGACGAGACUGCAUUUAACAAUGCAGGUUAGCAGGUCCCUAACUAGUGGCCCCCACAGCUUGGAUUCUUUCAAAGUCUCAUUUUAUUCUGCAGGUGUAGAAAUGCCCUUGGCCAGCAGCACAAGUCCACUGCCCUGACUAUUGCGCAUGGCUGCUGCACGUGGACACACAAACACUCAGAAUGACGUCACAACCAGGGAUCCAAUGAACAAGGCUGGCAGCCAAGGUCAGGCGAACAAGGAGCUGGGCCAGCUGACCCUGAACAGAGGAGGUACGAAUCCAGCUGACAGUGGGAGAGGACAGGAAAGGCAUUUCUUCCAGGCCCAGGGAGCAGCAGGAGCAUUGGCUGGGAGGAGAGAUGGAACUCACAGGACGCAGACGAAGGCAUACAUGGAGCAGGAAGCAACCAGGAGUCAUCACCAGACCAGUUCCUGCAGCAAGAGGAUUGCGACCCCUCCCGGUGGAAGUCGGUGUCCGCCUGGCUGCAGGUGUCCCCGUGCCCAGCCUGAGCAGGUGAGUCUGGUGCAGGUGCCUGCUCUCUGCCGCACUGAGGUGAGGGGAAAGGGUCACCCAGUGGGGGAGGAGAUCACCGAGUGAGCAGGGCUCUGGGGCUGGGGCGUGGUGAGGAGUAAGUAACCUUUGGCCCCAUCCAGAGCCCCAGGGCUGCUGCCUGCUGCUGGGAGCCUUUCCUCCUCCCAGCCUCGGAGUGUCCCUCUGGGACUUGGAGAGGACUAGGCAGCAUCCUGGCUGUGGUCGGCCCACGGAGUUCCCAGGCCCUGGCGACCCCGAGCUCCCUCCUUCUCCACUGUGCAGUCCCCACGCCGUGCGAGGAGGGGUGAGAGCCCAGGAAAAAAGCCCCGUCAGAUCCUGAGCCUUCUUCCUACAGCACAGGCCCAGCCUUGUUCCUUCACAGGGGCAGGGCCGGCACGCAGCAGGGGUCUGUGGAGUGGGACCCCGGGCCUACCCUGGGGAGCUCCUGGUCAGAUAGGGACUGACCCAAGGAACCCUCCAGUCCGAUGGAGGAGAUUGGUCCUGGCUCUGGAAGCCCCUGGAAGGGGAAUGGGGAAGCCCCACCCAGAAUGAAGUCUCUGCCCAUGGGGUAAUGAGUGGCUUGCACUGUCUGCACCUGGAGAAGGAAGAGUCCUGGAAGAGUCAGAAUCCCUGCCAGGGCUCUGUGUGUAUGCGUGCACAUGCCUGGAGAUUGAACCCAGGGUCUAUACCCUGAGAUAUUCUCCCAGCUCUUUAAAGUGUUUUGUUUUGUUCCAGUCCCUAAAUUACACAGACUUGGCUGGAAUUCGAAAUCCUCCUGCCUCAGCCGCCCAAGAGUGCUGGGAUUGUACUGUAUGCCAUGACACCCAGCUCUUGCCUGGCCUUUCACUUGGCUUGUAAAAGCUCCCCAGCCCCUCCAUACUUCCAUACUGCAGUUCUUGCAUCUGGAAAGUGGAGUUUGGAGCUGACUUCUAGGAUUCUGUCCAACUUUAACAUAUGAAUUUAUCAUCAAACCAGCGCUGGAGUGGUUGCCCUGUCUCUAGGAAAGGCGGUGACAUCGUGAAGGGCUUGGACAAGCUAAGCUUUCCUGGAGUGGCUCCCGGAUGCACCUGGGACCUGGCAUCAGGAGGGCCUCACAAAACUGCAGUUCACACAAGAGACAGAUACCUGCUGCACACCCUGCCCUUCCUUACCGAGUAACAGCCUUGGUGGCCUGGGAGUGGAGAGCAGAAUCCAGCUGCUGACCCUAACAGAAUGACCUUUCUUCUGAGCCUAAGGCCCCAAACCUCUGCUCUAAGCUGCUGCCCACGGAGUUCUUGGUCCGUGGCAGAGAGCUGUGUGCUUUGGGUGCAGAUGGAGCAGGGGGAAUUCACUGCUGCUUCUUGGGGCCCUGAGCCAAGCUCGGUGUAGCACGGCCUUGUUCCUUAACUCUUCACAAUCUUUUGCAGAUGAGGAAUUGAGGUGCAGAGUGUGUCCCCAGAUCUCUGGUGACACUGAUUCUCUCUUCCAUGUCCCCACUGGGAUGCAGUCUGUCUUCACUGGACACACACAGAACAGGCACAACCUUGGGGCUGGAACUUGGCUUCCACUUUCCCAACUCUUACAACUCAGAGGAAAACGCUGGGCCAUUGGCUGUGUGAGCAGCUCUGACCUAGAGUGUGAUGGAAACCAACUCCUUGGGGUACCUUAGAGUCUUAAUAAUGCAGCUGUUGUACUGUGAUCACCCAAACAAAAUUCCAUACAAACACAAUUCAUGUCCAGUUCAGGAAGCCAGUUUUCCUUCUUGUGACCACCCUGUGCGGGCCCGGGCUGCCCUGGCUUCUCUUGUGGAAAGGAAAUUGGCCAUCUGAGGGACAGGGGACAAGGAACAGGGGUAGCGAGGCUCCUGUCCCCUUCUGGGCUCCAACUUGGAGUGUUUCCCAGAAGAUGGGGCUGUCACUCUCUUAGGCCAGGGUUACAUCAUGGCAUUUUAGAUUGAUUUCCCUUCACCUGUUGUUUUUAAAGUUGAGGAAAUGAGGGGACUCACCCAAGGUCACCCAGGGGAAGGCGCACACACUAGAUCCAAAGGGCCUGUGCUCUCGGUGAGCCCCCUCUCGGUCUCCAGCACCAUUUACACAGCAGCCUGCUGCCUUGCAGCUCAUUAGGGCCCAUCGGGAGAAACAGUAACCCGGGUGAAUUAGGUGUCUGAAAGCUGAACCCGUAUUGGCCACGAAGCCUUGGCAGGGACGCUCUUCUCCCCUGUUCGCAGCAGCCUGGCUUUUGCAGUGAUGCCAGAGCCCCUACACCCAAGGGCCAGACUCGGGUGUAGAGGGCCAAGGGUGUGAGCUAAAAGCUCCAGACAGCAGGGUCGAGCUGGGCGUCUUCCCGGAGGAGGAGGAAGGGCAGGUGGGUGGUGGGACAAAGGAAGGGGUGAGUUUUCCCGCUGCUGGGAAAAGACCGAAGGAAAGGCUGGAAACAACUGGGGUCGCCCUGCCUGAAGUCCUUGGCGGACGCCGGAACCCCCUGUCUGCGCCGG